GUGGAAAUCUCAUUUCAUGGCUGAGAAUGAUGAUGACCCUAGUUCCACUAUCUGAACAGCAUUCUAAGGAAGAGCUUUCUAUGUGCACCGAGCUAAGGGUCUCUGAUGUCCCUGAGAGAGUGUGAGGAGCGAGAGCGGGAUAAAGCCAGGGUUUUGCCGUGGAGAAUCACCUCAGACAGACCGCAGAGCUGCAGUCCGUCUCAGGGGACCUGGGGAUGGUCAGCUGACCUGGGCAUUUACAUUUAGGGCGUUCAGCAGACGCUUUUAAACCAAAGCGACUUACACUAAGUACAUUUGUCGGAAGAAGAGAAAAAACUAUGGAUCGCUGUGGGUGUGGAUGUUCUCCUCCGAGCUGCUCUGGUCUGAAGACCUGCCCCAGCCUCCAGCAGAUAUGGUGGAGCCUCCCCCCGAGCCAACACACCGCUGCAAACAACAGCGGCCUGUCAGCCAGACCGGCCUCCAUCACCCUAUCAGAGCCCCGGGAGGAGGUAGCUGGGGGGCGGAGGAGGCUGCAUGGAACCGGAGCGAUGGAGACCAAAGCUGCCAUGUCUCCUAUGUUUUCUCCUCUCAUCUUCUGCUCAUUGUCGUCUCUCCGGUCGGCAGCCCGUUGCCCGCUAACCGUAUUGAUCCGUCUCCUCUUUCUUCCUCCAAGUUUUCUUUCUAGUGACAAAUCUCUUGGUUGGUCUCUGACGGCGGUACUGUUUUCUCCUCAUUUAAACCGACCUCGUCUCUCGUCAGGCAAGACGACCACUUCUUUACCUCCGUGUACAGUGUCUGCUGUCACAUUCCAUAUUGCCCUGGCAACAGAGCGACAGCUUCUGCAUCGCCAUGGCAACCGAGGGUCCGAGGGUCCGCGGUGAAGACAAGAAGAUUCCUCGAGGCGAACACAAAGUGAUCUGCGCUCCGCUCACCACAAUACUGACCAAACAUGAUCUGGGAUGGAUGGACGACAGCACUAUCGUGACACCACCCUCUGACAUGUGACCCAGCAGGAAGUGCUAAUCCGCCGGGCGUGGCGGAGCGUCAGCAGCCUGUGAGCGGAGAGCUACGUUCUGCACCGAUCGAUGCUCGGGUCAAUACUCUGCUCUCUCCUCACACAGGAAACACAACCAGAGGACGUCCUUCUGCUAAUAUGGACAUUACUCUGGAAAUCCUGUGCAUAGCGUUAUCCUUCCCCUGCUUGUCUUGUGUAGUACUAUACUCUAUAGCCUAGCCUAGCAUGUACUCUAUAGACUAGCCUAGCGUGUACUCUAUAGCCUAGCCUACCAUGUCUUGUGUUCUACUAUACUCUAUAGCCUAGCCUAGCGUGUACUCUGUAGACUAGCCAACUAUGUAUUUUGUUCUACGAUACUCUAUAGCCUAGCCUAGCGUGUAUUGUGUACUAUACUACAGGCAUUGGCGUGUAAACCUGAUAUUCAACACAAUGACUCCAGACUCAUAACACUGAUUACAAUAUGUAAAUAUAUUAAAUAGCAGCUGAUUAUGCAAAGGGUGAAUUAAAAAACAAGCUUUCUUAUGCAGGUCGUUGCAUUGCAACAGCUUGAGUAACAAGAAC
ensembl:lncRNA